AACCCUUCAAGCAUUGCUUGGUGUUGGGCGCUUGUCCCGCCUCCGCGCGCGGACUCGCCUUGAAAGCAUUGGCAGCCUGUGUAUUGGCUUCGAGCGCAGCAAACUCGCGUCUCGUCCCCUCUCCGCGCAGAGCGUCCAGGAAGUGAACCCCCAAAUU
rnacentral:misc_RNA from 1 species